GCAGCAGGCGAGAAACCUUUGCAAUGUGCGAAAGCACGACAAGGUUAAUCCGAGUGUCUCCUGCUAAAGGAGUCUUUUGUCAGUUCUAGAACCACUGGUGAAUAAGGGGUGGGCAAGUUCUGGUGUCAGCCGCCGCGGUAAAACCAGCACCUCGAGUGGUCAGGAGGUUUAUUGGGCCUAAAGCAUCCGUAGCCGGUUGCUUAAGUUUUCGGUUAAAUCUAUGCGCUUAACGUAUAGGCAGCCGAAAAUACUGGGUAACUAGGGAGUGGGAGAGGUACACGGUACUCACUAGGAAGGGGUAAAAUCCUUUGAUCUAGUGAAGACCACCUGUGGCGAAGGCGGUGUACCAGAACACGUUCGACGGUGAGGGAUGAAAGCUGGGGGAGCAAACCGGAUUAGAUACCCUGGUAGUCCACGCUGUAAAC
rnacentral:rRNA from 1 species